UACAGAGGGUGCGAGCGUUGUUCGGAAUUAUUGGGCGUAAAGGGCGCGUAGGCGGUGCGGUAAGUCACCUGUGAAAUCUCCUGGCUCAACUGGGAGCUUGCAGGCGAAACUGCCGUGCUGGAGUGUGGGAGAGGUGCGUGGAAUUCCUGGUGUAGCGGUGAAAUGCGUAGAUAUCAGGAGGAACACCGGUGGCGAAGGCGGUUCUCUGGGCCUUACCUGACGCUGAGGAGCGAAAGCGUGGGGAGCAAACAGG
rnacentral:rRNA from 1 species